rnacentral:rRNA from 1 species
CGCAUCUGUGCAUGCAGCAUAUCAAUAAGCGGAGGAAAAGAAACUAACAAGGAUUCCCCUAGUAACGGCGAGUGAAGCGGGAAGAGCUCAAAUUUGAAAUCUUAAAGGGUUUCCCUUUACGAAUUGUAGUUUAAAGAAGUGUUUUCUGUUGAGGUUUUGGUAAAAGUCCUUUGGAAUAGGACAUCAUAGAGGGUGAGAAUCCCGUAUUUGACCUUUACUUUCAACUUUGUGAUACACUUUCAAAGAGUCGGAUUGUUUGGGAAUGCAGUCCAAAAUGGGUGGUAAAUUUCAUCUAAAGCUAAAUAUUGGCGAGAGACCGAUAGCGAACAAGUACCGUGAGGGAAAGAUGAAAAGAACUUUGAAAGAGAGUUAAACAGUACGUGAAAUUGUCAAAAGGGAAGCGUUUGACACCAGUGUUGUUUUUCUGAAAAUCAAUUAAAGAACUGUUUAUGCUAAGCUGUUUAGACUUUAUCAGCUAUCUGUUUAGUUUUGAGCUUUUCUUUAAUGCACUUUUCAGUUAACAAGUCAACAUCAAUUUCUUUUGCUGUAAAAAAGCUUGAGGAAGGUGGCUUGAGAUUCGUCUUAAGUGUUUAUAGCCUCUUGCCUAUGCAGUCGGAGAGAUUGAGGUCUGCAGCGUAGAUCCUUCGGGGCUAAAUGCAUUCGUGCUAAGUUAUAGCAUUUUAUAGACAACUUGUUGACUAUGAUUUGUCUUGUAGCUUACUCGCUUAUGUUAUUUUACCUACGCUUAGGAUGUUGAGUCAUCACACAUCUC